AGCACUGGGAAUCUUGUUAAAAUGCAGAUUCAGAUUCAGUAGGUCUGGGGUCGGCCUGAGAUUCUGCAUUUCUAACUAGCUCCCAGGUGAUGCUGU
rnacentral:pre_miRNA from 1 species